rnacentral:rRNA from 1 species
ACNNAACAGGGGAAGAAGCUUUGCUUCUCUGCUGACGAGCGGCGGACGGGUGAGUAAUGUAUGGGGAUCUGCCUGAUGGAGGGGGAUAACUACUGGAAACGGUAGCUAAUACCGCAUAAUGUCUGCGGACCAAAGCGGGGGACCUUCGGGCCUCGCGCCAUCAGAUGAACCCAUAUGGGAUUAGCUAGUAGGUGAGGUAACGGCUCACCUAGGCGACAAUCCCUAGCUGGUCUGAGAGGAUGAUCAGCCACACUGGGACUGAGACACGGCCCAGACUCCUACGGGAGGCAGCAGUGGGGAAUAUUGCACAAUGGGCGCAAGCCUGAUGCAGCCAUGCCGCGUGUAUGAAGAAGGCCUUCGGGUUGUAAAGUACUUUCAGUCAGGNNGAAGGUGUUUU